rnacentral:tRNA from 1 species
GCUGAUGUAAGUAAAUUGGGGCAAUAUCUAUCAACACUCAUCAACUUACAUCAACAAGUGAUUUUAUUUAGUGUUAUGAUUUAUAAGGAUUGUUUUGAUUUUUAUGUGGUAGAUUAAGGGAUCAAAUAUGUGUAAACAUCGCAUUCGUAAUGCGAAGGUCGUAGGUUCGACUCCUAUUAUCGGCACCA